AUCCAGUUGACGAGCCCCAAAUAGGACGAAACGCGUGUCCUGAAU
rnacentral:hammerhead_ribozyme from 1 species